rnacentral:rRNA from 1 species
AUUGAACGCUGGCGGUAUGCUUAACACAUGCAAGUCGAACGAUGAGAAAGAGCUUGCUCUUUCGAUUAGUGGCGGACGGGUGCGUAACGCGUAGGAAUCUACCUAUUAGUGGGGGACAACUUAGGGAAACUUAAGCUAAUACCGCAUACGCCCUACGGGGAAAGAAGGGGAUCGCAAGACCUUUUGCUAAUAGAUGAGCCUGCGUAGGAUUAGCUAGUUGGUGGGGUAAAAGCUCACCAAGGCGACGAUCCUUAACUGGUUUGAGAGAAGGAUCAGUCACACUGGAACUGAGACCCGGUCCAGACUCCUACGGGAGGCAGCAGUGGGGAAUAUUGGACAAUGGGCGAAAGCCUGAUCCAGCAAUACCGCGUGUGUGAAGAAGGCCUUAGGGUUGUAAAGCACUUUCAAUUGGAAGGAAAACCUCGAAGCUAAUACCUUCGAGUUUGACAUUACCUUUAGAAGAAGCACCGGCUAACUCCGUGCCAGCCGCCGCUGUAACAC